UUUAUUUUCAUUGCUAAGUAUUUUUAGGGGGAAAAAAAUCUUAUUAUUUACUAAGAAAUGGUUAUCAAUGUAAAAUUUUACAAACGAAGCUUUUGUUUCUUACAUUGAGGCAUAAUUUGUCAUCCUUUUUCCCACUCAAAGCAUUUUGAUAAUUUUAUCACUUUGAAGGAGCAUCUACACUGACAGCAGCCAUAAUUGUUAAGUGAAUUUAUUUCACAAGUAUUCUAAAAAAAAAUAUUUUUAUUUUUAUCUCUUUAAUAUGAUAAUAUUGUCUAAAACAAGAUCUGUCAUGUUUUGAAGAAAAGACCAGAAUUGAAGAAUUGUUAAUGAAUUAAAGAAACAAACAUAAGAUAUAUUUUACCAAAUUGUCCAUUUCAGGGGAAGAUAAUUGUCCAAUUCAGGGGGAGAUACACAUAUAUUGAAAUAAAUGAGAUGUGGUAAGAAUGCCAAUGAGAUGUGGUAAAUAUGCCAAUGAGAUGUGCUAAAAAUGCUAAUGAGAUAUGCUAACUGCCAAUGAGAUGUGCUAAAUAUGCCAAUGAGAUGUGGUAACAAUGCGAAUGAGAUGUGGUAAAUAUGCCAAUGAGAUGUGGUAAUAAUGCUAAUGAGAUGUGGUAAAUAUGCCAAUGAGAUGUGGUAAUAAUGCUAAUGAGAUGUGGUAAAUAUGCCAAUGAGAUGUGGUAAUAAUGCUAAUGAGAUGUGGUAAAUAUGCCAAUGAGAUGUAAGAAUGCCAAUGCGAUUUGGUAAGAAUGCCAAUAAGAUGUGGUAAAUAUGACAAUGAGAUGUGCAAAGAAUGCCAAUGAGAUGUAAUAAUGCUGAUGAGAUGUAAUAAUGCCGAUGAGAUGUGGUGAUAAUGCCAAUGCGAUUUGGUAAGAAUAUGCCAAUGAGAUGUGGUAAUAAUGCCAAUGAGAACUAUCCAUCAGAGAUUGAGCCACAAGGCUGAGAGAGUUCUCUUUCUUUUAUGUGAGUUUUAUGUUUACUUUGCAAGCUCCCCUAAGUAACAGCUGAAAUUUUGAAUAACCACUUUUGAAUUAAGAAUGCCAAUGAGAACUUUCCACCAGAGAUUGAGCCACAAGGCUGAAAGAGUUAUCUUUCUUUCAUGUGAAUUUUACGUAUACUUUGCAAGCUCCCCUACAGCUGAUAGUUUACAUUUUCAUCAAAAAAUUAUUAAAAUUACCCUUUCUUUUAAUAAAAUCAUUUUAUAAUUAAACUUUUAUAAAUAAACAUGUAGAAAAAGCUUGCUAUAAAUCUCAAAUUCAAAAUUUUCUGCAAAAAAAUAUAUUAAAUAACCACUUUUGAAUUUUUUUCCAAUUUAAAAAAAAAAUAUACCAGUUAUGGCACGGGGAUAGAAAAAUUAGAAAAGAUGUGUGGAAUCAAAUGGAUGACAACAAUAGUGAAAUGAAAUAUUCUAAUAAUAACCAGUUUUAAAUGUAUUGACUUAAUUGACUUAUUGUAAGAGGAUAUAUGUGACCAGUCAGAAUAGUGGACAAUGAAAUAUUCAAAUGAUAGAACUGACUGAAGUGAAUAGACUUAAAAUCCAGAAUUGAAACCAGCAAGUGAAUUAUUGACACCAGCCUUGGAACCAGCAAGUGAAUUAUUGACAUUCAUAUUGAUGUGACCAGUAUUCAUGUGGAUGGACAGUGCUAGUGGAAUAUAAACUGAUAAAUCUUACAGAUAGGCACAUCACAACCGGGUCUGAAGCUUUAGCAUACAAAAGACAUGAUAUCCAGGAAUUUUUUAAGAAUUGUGUGUGAUCUAUUUCAAGAUCUGAGGACACUAGGACCUGGAAGUACUAUAUUACCAACUUCAAGAUUAACUGUGCUUCGGAAUUUACAAAUCAACUGAUGCAGAAGAAGAGACUUUAAUUUCGCCAUUUAGAUGAACUUGGAAACAAUUAUUGACAAAAAAUAUAGUGUAUUAGUAUUCUUGUUAAAAUCAAUAGAGAAAGAGAGAGAGAGGGAGGAAAGGAGAGAGUCAGUUGUAAAGGUUUAUUUCUUUGUAACCAGACAUGUCGAUUACAUUAGAAUUUCAGAGGCCUACAGUUCUCCCUUAAAUGGUCAUAGUU